rnacentral:lncRNA from 1 species
AUGGGGGAAGGAGCCCAAGGAGAAGCAUCAGCAACAGAGUCCCAGAGAGUUCAGGCACCCCGGUCAAAACCCCUGACGUUGCAGUUCACUGCGCUCCAGCAGCCGGGAACGAGCCAGACGUGGAGCUGGUUAAAACAUGUUCUGCAAAAUUAUCUGGAUUUGCCGGGCAAAGACAAGCGCGGGUUUUCCCCUCGCAACCAUUCACAUACCUCUGUGGAGGAUUUGUUGGGAGUUUCCACCACCUGUUUGCACAGAGCUGACUAUGGGUCCAUGCUGCUCCGCUCUGCUUCCUGUCUGAGAAGAAGCCGAGACGGUCAGCAGAAACAACCUCACGUCCUUGCAGAUGAAAACCAUGGAACACAAUUUGUCCCGCUAGGGAAAUCAGUGCUUUAAGUGCAUGAGUAAUCCACUGACUUCAUAGGAAUAGCUCCGGAUGGAUUUUUUUCAGCGUGCUCUCAGGGGCUGCAGCACAUCAUGGGUGUGUCAGACGAGCCAGGAUGCUCGGUCUGCUGCUGACCUGUGCUGUCCAUUGGGGUUUGGGCUGUCCCAUGGGCAUGCCUGGCCCCUGCCGUGCACCCCAGGGUUCCAUCACUGACAAACAGUGCUUUCUUAGCAAUAGUAUCCCCAGGAACACAUUCAGAAACUACAGAUGAGGUCAUUCCCCAGAGCAUGCUUAGGUAUUUGGGGCCCUGGACGUGGAGAGGAGCUAAAAUCUUACACUCAAUUAAUGGUUUUUAAAGUGAAACUAGAGCUCUUUUUACAGUACAUUUGGAGUCUGUUAAUCUGGCACUGGUUAAUGAUUAACAAUUUAUUUAUCCUUAUCAUUAGAGAUGGUGCAAACAUACAUUCUUCAUCCUUACUCGCUUCAAAAGAGGCAUUGGGAGUAACAGCCACCUACGCAGAAUAAGAAUUGAAUGUUAUUCAUGAAUUAAUACUGUUUAUUCACAUUAACAAAUCUGAGGCUGGUACAUCUCCAUGUUGUCCUUUCAAGCAAUCCAUCAAACAAAAUAAGCAAGGGCCCACCCCAAAGGCCCUAAGUUUGACUUUAUGCUCUAAACUUCCAAACUUCAGCCCAGGAGAUGCUUAGCACAAGACCUCCAGAAAGACUGAGGGUGUGAGCUUUGUCCUACAUUUGGAGAUAACAAAGAAGUGGAAGCCUGGCCUGGAAUCCAUCACAGAAACCCCCUGCAGAGCUCACCACGAAUGACCCAAUACCUGGGCCGAGCUCCUCACCACUUCCCCCAGCACACCUUGAAGGUGGUUUCUGGGCACAGCUGACAUCCCGACACAGCAUUGCUAACCCCUGUUCAACCUGAGUGUGGAUGGUGCUGAGGUGAUAAAGCUGGGUUUCUGGGUGCGGAAGGAUGUGCUUUGCUUCAUCAGAAUCACAGAUUAGAGAUGCCUUUUGAAAAAUGUGCUCUGAGCGUGAUCUUUUUUCUUCCAAAAAUAACUUGUAUUUUGCUCAUAUUAAAAGAGCAGGAUGUUCUUUCCUGUCCUACAGGGAUAAGGAGGAAAUGAGAACUACACUGGUUUUUUUUUAAUAUGAUAUGAGCUACUAUUCUUCUGGUCUACUGCUGUGAAUCUCGAUCCCCCACCCCCCAACCCCAGCACUAGGAUUUUAAUCCCUAUGGAUCUCAUUUUGCUUCAUUCAUGCCAAUGUUCUCCCAGUGAAGCUCUCUUUGAUUUCAGCAGGAUUCCUCCAUAUUUACACCUUUCAGAUCCCAAGGCAGUAUGGAUUGAAGGGAGGCAACUAACUUACAACAGAGAAUGCUGAAUGCCUCCAAGCCCCUUUCCAAUGAGACAAAGUCAGCGGAGAGACAUGAGUGGGGGCAGAGAGCAUCCCUUCCUGUCCUCUGCAUUUAAAGGAAAGAGGCUGCUCUUUGGAGGAAAUGUGAAUGUAAUGAACUGGACAUUCGAGUCCCAUUGUGCUGAGGUCUGACAGGAAACACUUGGGGUUUGAUUCAGGAAAAAGUACAGAGUAUUCCUUUAUAAAACUCUCAUAACCCCAACUAUCCCGCAGCAUUUCACUGCCUGUCUGUCUUUAAUGUAUAUAUUCUCACAGCCCUCUCCAGAAGACCAGAAGGAAACCUGGCCACUGGGGAGCGGGGGAGGCAUGGGAAGAAACUGUAGGGAUGUUUCCAGCCAACAGCCAUCCUAAAUGACAGCAUAAGGCCAGCAGCUCGCUCCCUUUUCAACCAAAGGGACCCCAGAACAGCUGCCCUUGCUGCUGGCCACCACAGUUUGCUAUGGGAAGAGGGACACUGCUCCAACUAUAGGAGCUAUAAACUGCCUCAAGUCUUAUGAAAGACCCAAACUGUAAAGACUGUGAAGGAAACCCCAUACAACCCAGAAGAGAUGGAUUGAGGACAUAAUGCCCUUGACUGAAAAAGGAGGCACCCAGGAAAUCUAGUGGUGUACAUAUAUAUAUAUAGGUGUGUGUAUAUAUAUGCAUAUAUAUAUAUAUUUAACUAGGGCUAAAGUAAUUGGCAUGCACAUCCCCUGAGCUGCUUCCUAAUGCACAGCUGCAGGAGGAAUUAUCUGGCUCUUAGCUGAAGGAACUCCUUAAGAAAGAAAGAAAAAAAAAGAUGUAGGCCAUUAAAGUGCUAAUAAAAAAUGUUGAUGAAUCUCA